rnacentral:rRNA from 1 species
ACGGGAGGCAGCAGUGGGGAAUAUUGCACAAUGGGCGAAAGCCUGAUGCAGCGACGCCGCGUGAGUGAAGAAGUAUUUCGGUAUGUAAAGCUCUAUCAGCAGGAAAGAAAAUGACGGUACCUGACUAAGAAGCCCCGGCUAACUACGUGCCAGCAGCCGCGGUAAUACGUAGGGGGCAAGCGUUAUCCGGAUUUACUGGGUGUAAAGGGAGCGUAGACGGUUUUGCAAGUCAGAAGUGAAAGCCCGGGGCCCAACCCCGGAACUGCUUUUGAAACUGUAGAACUGGAGUGCAGGAGAGGUAAGUGGAAUUCCUAGUGUAGCGGUGAAAUGCGUAGAUAUUAGGAGGAACACCAGUGGCGAAGGCGGCUUACUGGACUGUAACUGACGUUGAGGCUCGAAGGCGUGGGGAGCAAACAGGAUUAGAUACCCUGGUA